rnacentral:tRNA from 1 species
AGGAAUAUAGUAUAGUUGGUAGUACAUGGGUCUCCAAAACCUGUAACCGUGGUUCGAGUCCACGUGUUCCUG